CAGUAGCCGCGGGAAAACAGAGGGUGCGAGCGUUAAUCGGAUUUACUGGGCGUAAAGCGUGCGCAGGCGGUGUUGUAAGACUGAUGUGAAAUCCCCGGGCUCAACCUGGGAACUGCAUUGGUGACUGCAACGCUGGAGUGCGGCAGAGGGGGAUGGAAUUCCGCGUGUAGCAGUGAAAUGCGUAGAUAUGCGGAGGAACACCGAUGGCGAAGGCAAUCCCCUAAGCCUGCACUGACGCUCAUGCACGAAAGCGUGGGGAGCAAACAGGAUUAGAUACCCGGGUAGUCCCUGUCUCUUAUAC
rnacentral:rRNA from 1 species